GACGAACGCUGGCGGCGUGCUUAACACAUGCAAGUCGAGCGAUGAAAGCCUUAUGAACUAUUCGUAGUGAUUGGGGCCGGAUUAGCGGCGGACGGGUGAGUAACGCGUGAGCAACCUGCCUUAAACAACGGGAUAGCCUCGGGAAACCGGGAUUAAUACCGUAUGAGACCCCGCCUUCACAUGAAGAAGAGGUCAAAGAUUUAUCGGUUUAAGAUGGGCUCGCGUCUGAUUAGCUAGUUGGUGAGAUAAAAGCCCACCAAGGCAACGAUCAGUAACCGGCUUGAGAGAGUGAACGGUCACAUUGGAACUGAGAAACGGUCCAAACUCCUACGGGAGGCAGCAGUGGGGAAUAUUGCACAAUGGGGGAAACCCUGAUGCAGCGACGCCGCGUGAGCGAUGAAGGAAUUCGUUUCGUAAAGCUCUGUCCAAGGGGAAGAUAAUGACAGUACCCUUGGAGGAAGCCCCGGCUAAAUACGUGCCAGCCGCCGCAGUAACAC
rnacentral:rRNA from 1 species